GAUGCCCAAACACUUUACCAACUGAGCUACAUCCCCACCUCCUAUCGAGGAUGCUUUAACCUCAGGCGCUAUAAAUUUUCAGCUAUAGAAAAAAAUUCCAUAUGAACCUUUUGAAAAUAUUUUUUGUGUUUUCUUUUUUCAGUAUCCAUUUUCAAUCCUUGUCAAAUACUGACUGACUUUAUAAUUAAAAGUCCGAAUUACUGGUAAUAAGAGGAACCGAAGCUAAGGAGAAAGAAUGGUUUACUCCGAUGCUGGCAUGGGUUAGAGAAGUAUCCGGUGCUAAGAGCUGGUGCGGGAGGGACAUGGGGGUAGUGGCUGGAGAGGAGACGCUGACUGGGUUGUAACGGAAGCAACGUGGCAGUGCUGCUUCUGACUCAAAGAGCUUUCAACUGUUCAUUCUGUGGCAGGAGGUGUGUUGGGACAGUUUCCUGAAGCGCUGUUGUAGGAGUCGGGGUUGAGGCCAGCUUGGUACCUGCUUGGCCUACUGGUCCUUCUCUAGAAAGGAAGAUUGCAGGUCCUACAGAAGUUGUGUUGUUCGUUAUGAAGAGCCACCCGUUAUGAGGAGCCACCAAGCUGUUCUCUCUGCUGUACUGCCACCAACAACGCAUACAGGUUCCAGUUUCUCUACAGCUUGCUUGAUGUUGUCACCUUCGUUGAAUGACAGCUGUCCCAGUGGGUGGCCGAGUACCAUGUUUUUGCUUUUGUCUCCUGUUGCUAAAGGCACUGAACAGCGGUUACUGUGACCAUUGGCCACUUGCAGAUCUUCUUAGCAGGUACAUUGUCACCCAGGCACUUUGGCUGUUUGAGAACUGGGCUGUUACUAAGUUGUAUGAAUUCUUUAAAAUAGCCUGGACGCAAGCACCUUGCGAGAGAAACGCUUGUUCCGUCUCGGUCCCUCGGUCGCAGCUUUACAUGUUAAGCUUGCAUUCUUGUGCACUGGUUGAAUUCAGGUUUUUUUUUUCUCUUCUCCUUUUUCCUACCAUGUGUGCUUUGGAUACUGUACCAGAAGUUGCUGAGUUUUGCUGCUGCGCUGGCUUCUAGGAGCUUCCUACAUCCAGGAGACCCGUUUAAGUGGGCUUUCGAAAAGGACCCAGUGUCCACUUGGCGUUGGCUUUUGCAUAUUGUGUGAAACUGGGACCCAGGUUCAUCUUUCCGUGUGCUUUCCUUGCACGUGGGUGCCGCUCCUGGGCGGUUCAACCUCAGCCUCUUAAACACUGCCCCCGUGAAAGCUCUAGAUUUUCCUGACUGUGCGCUCUGCUCUGGCCGGCUUGGCAGGCACCUAGGACAGACGGGAGGCUAUUUGGACAUUCCUGUUGGGGUUUGUCUUCCUCAUGUACUUCCUUCCCCACUUGUAUGCAGUGUUAAUCUUCAUUUUCCAGUAUUUGGAGCCGGCGAUGCCGUGGCUUUCUGCUUGAGGUUUAGUUUCUUUGUGCUGCGUAGGCCCUCGCGCACACCGGCAGCGAAUCGUGUCGAUGUAGCUCUUACCUCACAUGUCUGGCUUCUUUCAGGGAUCAAGUCAUCUCUAUUUUUUGCCUCCUUUUUGGGGGUGUUUAUUCUAUAUUUUCCUUCAGAACAUUUUAUUUUUCAUUUUAAAAGAAUAUAAAGGCUAUAAUCUCAGCUCCUGGGCUGGUAAAAAAAACAAAAACAAAAACAAAAACAAAACAAAAAGAGAAAAAAACAAACCACUACUAGCCUCAGAGAGACACUGUCACCUUUCAUAGGAUUUUAUUUCGCGAUGAUAAUUUUCUCAGUAUUGUUUUUUGGGGAAAUUGUCUCAAACUUCCAUUCGUGUUUCAGUGCGCUCAUAAUAACUCUCUUCGUUGAAAUGCUACUAUAGAGUUGUAAACGUCUCUGUUCAGGGCGAACGCGUCUGGCUGCCACCUCACUGCCACCUGCUCGUGUGUCCUCUGUCUUAGUCUGAAAGUCUGAAAUGAACUUUUAUGUUCCUGGGCCAGCUGGACAGUAUUCAUCCUUAGCCUUGGGAUUUCUGUCAUGUUUCAAUGCCCUGGUCACCGAUGAUUUUGACUUGCUUCCUCUGUUGUACAAAGAACAGCCUGUUCCACAGUUCUGUGGUAAUUGGUCCAGAGUAGGAAAAAUAUCUGAGGUCUUACAAAGAUUCUCAGAGGAUGUCUUUCCUUCCUUUGGACUGAUAGUCUGGGCAGCCAGAAAGAUUAAAUGAUUUGGGACCAUAGUCCCGAGUAUUUUGUGUUGUCACUUUGUCUUGUAGAAACUGGUGGGUUUUUUUAUUUUGUUUUGUUUAGGACCUUGAUAAGUGAUUAUUCUUGAUUAUUUUUUCCCCUGGGGUGGGGUGGGGGACUUCAGAUUUGUGUGAAAUUUCGAAAGCCUGUGAUUUCUAGUUGUUUAUUUUUUCUCUCUGUAUCAUGUAGCCAUUUUCCCAUGUCCUCUCACUGUUCCUGGCAGGGUCCCUGCCGCUUGGCAAUUUUUUUUUUUUCUGUCAGUUUGGUGGUGCUAAUUUCUUUUUCUUUUUCUCUCACAGCCUGUCGAUUUCAUUCGAGCAAUUUGCUCUUGUGCUGUAUCGGCGUAGCGCUUUGCGGCCCUGGGACCCUUCGGCAGCUUUCUCUGGAGCGGGGGCAGACGGUUCUAGGUCUCUGCGGUUUACUAUGCGCAGGGUGCUGCCCUGAAGAAGUUCUUCCUUGUUUAGUUCUGCUUUCUUAUCCGGCAUGUAAUAAACAGACAUUGCUGGCUUUUCUUGUA
rnacentral:sRNA from 1 species